GAGGGUGUAGCUCAAGUGGUAGAGCGCAUGCUUAGCAUGCAUGAGGUCCUGAGUUCAAUCCCCAGUACCUCCU
rfam:Camelus ferus unplaced genomic scaffold scaffold1592, whole genome shotgun sequence.